CGGGAUAGCUCAGUGUAGAGCAGACUGAA
rnacentral:tRNA from 1 species